rnacentral:rRNA from 1 species
CCUACGGGGGGCAGCAGUAGGGAAUCUUCCACAAUGGGCGAAAGCCUGAUGGAGCAACGCCGCGUGGGUGAAGAAGGUCUUCGGAUCGUAAAACCCUGUUGUUAGAGAAGAAAGUGCGGGAGAGUAACUGAUCACGUGUCGACGGUAUCGAACCAGAAAGCCACGGCUAACUAGGUGCCAGCAGCCGCGGUAAUACGUAGGUGGCAAGCGUUAUCCGGAUUUAUUGGGCGUAAAGGGAACGCAGGCGGUCUUUUCAGUCUGAGGUGAAAGCCUUCGGCUUAACCGGAGUAGUGCAUUGGAACCUGCGAGACUUUAGUGCAGCAGAGGAGAGU